rnacentral:rRNA from 1 species
GGCAGCAGUCGAGAAAACUUCACAAUGUGCGAAAGCACGAUGAGGGAAUCCCAAGUGCUUGCACGUAAGUGUAAGCUGUUUCUCUGUCUAAAACGCAGAGAGAGUAAGGGCUGGGUAAGACGGGUGCCAGCCGCCGCGGUAAUACCUGCAGCUCGAGUGGUGACCGCUAUUAUUGGGCCUAAAACGUCCGUAGCCGGUUUAAUAAAUGCCUGGGUAAAUCGGACCGCUUAACGGUUCGAAUUCCGGGUAGACUGUUAAACUUGAGACCGGGAGAAGUUAGAGGUACUCCUGGGGUAGAGGUGAAAUUCUGUAAUCCUAGGGGGACCACCAGUGGCGAAGGCGUCUAACUAGAACGGGUCUGACGGUGAGGGACGAAGCCCUGGGGCGC